GCGCUGGGACAGGGCUGGGGAUGCAAAAGCAAAAAGAUCAACAAGAGUUGAACAGACAUUUCAAGAGUUUUUAGCUGAGAAAUGCAUGUGAAGGACCUGCCUCCUGUGAUCAGGAAGUCCUAAGGGGACAAAGGGCAAAGAGAGCUCACUCUGCCAUUUUCUUCAUUCAGUAAAGAAGAUUCAAGUGGGCCAACUUUUUCAGCAAGGAUGCUGUUCUGGAGACCCUGUGUUGGUGGCAGGGCAGACUUCAAGGAGACAUCCCAUUGUGAACAUCAAGGGAACAUCUGGUUGUGUUUGGAGAUCAACUACUAAACAUUCCUCCAUAUGUCAAGGACAGUCAUCUGCCCUGGAAACUCAUCAGACUUCUCUUCAAUAACACACCAACUUGAAGUGUGCAUUUGACAACUCCUGAAAUUCUGCUACUGGUGCAAGAAAUAAGAACCAGAAGGAAACUGAGACCUUCAUCGCUGGCAUUUCUGGGUAGAUAGGAUACAGUUCUGAAAAUCAGAUAUUUGGUCUUGAGUGUUGCUCUGUGUUGCUCGUAGCUCCCUUUUUAGAGUUCAAGUACAAUUUAAUGGUGUUAUUAUGAGCUGAAGACCCUCAUUGGGUUUUUGGCGUCAUCUUCAGCUACAAUUCCACUGUCCAGUGGCUGCUAACUAUUUGGGUACUAUACAUAGCAACUUAAACACACCAUCACAUUUAAAUCCACCUUACCCCAAAGGAUUAGGUGCUGGUGUUACUUUCACAAUACAGAUGAGAGAACUGAGGCACUAAUAGAUUAAAACAAAUCCUCCAUUUGCACUGUGAAUUACUGCUGCAGUUGGAAUUAGCACUAAUUUGUUUGACUUUAGAGUGUGCGCUGUUUUUUAAAAACAAGAAUAGUAACUUUAUCUUUUUGUUUUUGUAAAAGUGAUACAUGUAUACUACACAAAAUUCAAGCCAUCGAAGGAGGACACAGAAGAAUGGAAAAUAAUCCACCUUAUUUCAUGCUCUCCAGAAAGCCAUAAUUAAUAUUUAGUGACUGUCAUUCAGGACAUCUUUCUAUACACACAUGCAGAUGUAAUAAUAGAGAAGUCAGGACAAAAAUAGAUGGGAA
rnacentral:lncRNA from 1 species